GGCAAGAUGGCCGAGUUGGUCCAAGGCGUGAGGUUAAGGUCCACCUUAAUACCUAACUCUACGAGUUUCCUCAUCAUCAUCUGAUGGCGUGGGUUCGAAUCCCACUCUUGUCA
rnacentral:tRNA from 1 species